rnacentral:rRNA from 2 species
GGUGCUGAAGCAACAAAUGCCCUGCUUCCAGGAAAAGCCUCUAAGCAUCAGGUAACAUCAAAUCGUACCCCAAACCGACACAGGUGGUCAGGUAGAGAAUACCAAGGCGCUUGAGAGAACUCGGGUGAAGGAACUAGGCAAAAUGGUGCCGUAACUUCGGGAGAAGGCACGCUGACACGUAGGUGAAGUGAUUUACUCAUGGAGCUGAAGUCAGUCGAAGAUACCAGCUGGCUGCAACUGUUUAUUAAAAACACAGCACUGUGCAAACACGAAAGUGGACGUAUACGGUGUGACGCCUGCCCGGUGCCGGAAGGUUAAUUGAUGGGGUCAGCGCAAGCGAAGCUCCUGAUCGAAGCCCCGGUAAACGGCGGCCGUAACUAUAACGGUCCUAAGGUAGCGAAAUUCCUUGUCGGGUAAGUUCCGACCUGCACGAAUGGCGUAAUGAUGGCCAGGCUGUCUCCACCCGAGACUCAGUGAAAUUGAACUCGCUGUGAAGAUGCAGUGUACCCGCGGCAAGACGGAAAGACCCCGUGAACCUUUACUAUAGCUUGACACUGAACAUUGAGCCUUGAUGUGUAGGAUAGGUGGGAGGCUUUGAAGUGUGGACGCCAGUCUGCAUGGAGCCGACCUUGAAAUACCACCCUUUAAUGUUUGAUGUUCUAACGUGGACCCGUAAUCCGGGUUGCGGACAGUGUCUGGUGGGUAGUUUGACUGGGGCGGUCUCCUCCUAAAGAGUAACGGAGGAGCACGAAGGUUGGCUAAUCCUGGUCGGACAUCAGGAGGUUAGUGCAAUGGCAUAAGCCAGCUUGACUGCGAGCGUGACGGCGCGAGCAGGUGCGAAAGCAGGUCAUAGUGAUCCGGUGGUUCUGAAUGGAAGGGCCAUCGCUCAACGGAUAAAAGGUACUCCGGGGAUAACAGGCUGAUACCGCCCAAGAGUUCAUAUCGACGGCGGUGUUUGGCACCUCGAUGUCGGCUCAUCACAUCCUGGGGCUGAAGUAGGUCCCAAGGGUAUGGCUGUUCGCCAUUUAAAGUGGUACGCGAGCUGGGUUUAGAACGUCGUGAGACAGUUCGGUCCCUAUCUGCCGUGGGCGCUGGAGAACUGAGGGGGGCUGCUCCUAGUACGAGAGGACCGGAGUGGACGCAUCACUGGUGUUCGGGUUGUCAUGCCAAUGGCACUGCCCGGUAGCUAAAUGCGGAAGAGAUAAGUGCUGAAAGCAUCUAAGCACGAAACUUGCCCCGAGAUGAGUUCUCCCUGAGACUUAGAGUCUCCUGAAGGAACGUUGAAGACGACGACGUUGAUAGGCCGGGUGUGUAAGCGCAGCGAUGCGUUGAGCUAACCGGUACUAAUGAACCGUGAGGCUUAACCUUACA